AGAGUUUGAUCAUGGCUCAGGAUGAACGCUAGCGGCGUGCUUGAUCCAUGCAAGUCGAACGGGGAGGGUAAGGCGCCUCCGGGUGCCGAGCCAUUCCAGUGGCGAACGGGUGAGUAACACGUAGGUAUCUGCCCCGGGGAGGGGAAUAGCUGCUCGAAAGGGCAGGUAAUUCCGCAUGUGCUCCGUAAGGAGGAAAGGGGAAACCCGCCCUGGGAUGAGCCUGCGGCCGAUUAGCUAGUUGGUGGGGUAAAGGCCCACCAAGGCGACGAUCGGUAGCUGGUCUGAGAGGACGAUCAGCCACACUGGAACUGAGACAUGGUCCAGACUCCUACGGGGGGCAGCAGGAAGGAAUAUUGCACAAUGGGGGAAACCCAGAUGCAGCAACGCCGCGUGAGCGAAGAAGGCCUUCGGGUCGUAAAGCUCUUUUCUGGGGGAUGAGGAAGGACGGUACCCCAGGAAUAAGUCUCGGCUAACUACGUGCCAGCAGCCGCGGUAAAACGUAGGAGGCGAGCGUUAUCCGGAUUCACUGGGCGUAAAGGGCAAGUAGGCGGUUGUCUAAGUUGGGCGUGACAACUCCCGGCUCAACUGGGAGAGGUCGUUCAAUACUGGAUGACUGGAGGGCAGGAGAGGAAAGUGGAAUUCCUGGUGUAGCGGUGGAAUGCUCAGAUACCAGGAGGAACACCAGUGGCGAAGGCGACUUUCUGGCCUGCACCUGACGCUGAGAGGCGAAAGCUAGGGGAGCGAACGGGCUUAGAUACCCCGGUAGUCCUAGCUGUAAACUUUGGAUACUGGGUAUUGGGGGUGUAGAUUCCCUCAGUGCCGAAGCUAACGCGUUAAGUAUCCCGCCUGGGGACUACGGCCGCAAGGUUAAAACUCAAAGGAAUUGACGG
rnacentral:rRNA from 1 species